GCAAGUCGAGGGGUAACAGGACGGAUCUAUUCGAAUCUGACGACCGGCGCACGGGUGCGUAACGCGUAUGUAACCUGCCUUAUACAGAGGGAUAGCCCCGAGAAAUUGGGAUUAACACCUCAUGGUAUUACUGAUUCGCAUGAAUUAGUAAUUAAAACUCCGGUGGUAUAAGAUGGGCAUGCGUAUGAUUAGCUAGAUGGAGAGGUAACGGCUCCCCAUGGCACGAUCAUUAGGGGUCCUGAGAGGGUGAUC
rnacentral:rRNA from 1 species